UACGUAGGGGGCAAGCGUUGUCCGGAUUUAUUGGGCGUAAAGAGCGUGUAGGCGGCCAUUCAGGUCAGCUGUGAAAACUCGAGGCUCAACCUCGAGACGUCGGUUGAAACCGUUUGGCUAGAGUCCGGAAGAGGAGAGUGGAAUUCCACGUGUAGCGGUGAAAUGCGUAGAGAUGUGGAGGAACACCAGUGGCGAAGGCGACUCUCUGGUCUGUAACUGACGCUGAGGCGCGAAAGCGUGGGGAGCAAACAGG
rnacentral:rRNA from 1 species